AUGAGCCAACAAUGUGAUGUGGCUGCUAAAAAAGCCAAUGGGAUUUUGGCCUGCAUCAAUAGGGGAAUAGCAUCUAGAUCCAGGGAAGUUAUGCUCCCCCUCUAUUCUGCCUUGGUCAGACCACACCUGGAAUACUGUGUCCAAUUUUGGGCACCACAGUUGAAGGGAGAUGUUGACAAGCUGGAAAGCGUCCAGAGGAGGGCGACUAAAAUGAUUAAGGGUCUGGAGAACAAGCCCUAUGAGGAGCGGCUUAAAGAGCUGGGCAUGUUUAGCCUGCAGAAGAGAAGGCUGAGAGGAGACAUGAUAGCCAUGUACAAAUACGUGAAGGGAAGUCAUAGGGAGGAGGGAGCAAGCUUGUUUUCUGCUGCCCUGCAGACUAGGACACGGAACAAUGGCUUCAAACUACAGGAAAGGAGAUUCCACCUGAACAUCAGGAAGAACUUCCUCACUGUGAGAGCUGUUCGACAGUGGAACUCUCUCCCCGGGGCCGUGGUAGAGGCUCCUUCUUUGGAGGCUUUUAAGCAGAGGCUGGAUGGCUAUCAUGUCUCCUCUCAGCCUUCUCUUCUGCAGGCUAAACAUGCCUAGUUCUUUAAGCUGCUCCUCAUAGGGCUUGUUCUCCAGACCCUUGAUUAUUUUAGUUGCCCUCCUCUGGACGCUUUCCAACUCGUCAAUAUCUCUCUUCAUCGCUUAGGAGUGAUCCUGAUCCUGGAGCC
rnacentral:lncRNA from 1 species